AUUGAACGCUGGCGGCAGGCCUAACACAUGCAAGUCGAGCGAGCGGCGGAUGGGUGAGUAAUGUCUGGGAAACUGCCUGAUGUAGGGGGAUAACUACUGGAAACGGUAGCUAAUAUCGCAUACACUCGCAUGUGCCCACAUGGGAUUAGCUAGUAGGUGGGGUAACGGCUCACCUCGGCGACGAUCCCUAGCUGGUCUGAGAGGAUGACCAGCCACACUGUAACUAAGACAUGGUCCAGACUCCUACGGGAGGCAGCGGUGGGGAAUAUUGCACAAUGGGCGCAAGCCUGAUGCAGCCAUGCCGCGUGUGUGAAGAAGGCCUUCGGGUUGUAAAGCACUUUCAGCUGGGAGGCGUUACCCGCAGAAGAAGCACCGGCUAACUCCGUGCCAGCAGCCGCGGUAAUAC
rnacentral:rRNA from 1 species